AUGAACGCUGGCGGCGUGCCUAAUACAUGCAAGUCGAGCGAACAGACGAGGAGCUUGCUCCUCUGACGUUAGCGGCGGACGGGUGAGUAACACGUGGAUAACCUACCUAUAAGACUGGGAUAACUUCGGGAAACCGGAGCUGAUACCGGAUAAUAUAUUGAACCGCAUGGUUCAAUAGUGAAAGACGGUUUUGCUGUCACUUAUAGAUGGAUCCGCGCCGCAUUAGCUAGUUGGUAAGGUAACGGCUUACCAAGGCAACGAUGCGUAGCCGACCUGAGAGGGUGAUCGGCCACACUGGAACUGAGACACGGUCCAGACUCCUACGGGAGGCAGCAGUAGGGAAUCUUCCGCAAUGGGCGAAAGCCUGACGGAGCAACGCCGCGUGAGUGAUGAAGGUCUUCGGAUCGUAAAACUCUGUUAUUAGGGAAGAACAAAUGUGUAAGUAACUAUGCACGUCUUGACGGUACCUAAUCAGAAAGCCACGGCUAACUACGUG
rnacentral:rRNA from 1 species